rnacentral:rRNA from 1 species
GCUUAACACAUGCAAGUCUUUGGCGAAUCUGUGCUUGCACAGGCUAGCCAAGGCGGACGGGUGAGUAACGCGUAAAGAACUUGCCCUGCAGACAGGGAUAACAGACGGAAACGACUGACAACACCUGAUACAGUUGCCGGCACGCAUGUGCCUGGCAAUGAAAAGAGAUGCUGCGGGAGAGCUUUGCGUCCUAUUAGCUUGUUGGCGGGGUAACGGCCCACCAAGGCGAUGAUAGGUAGCCGGCCUGAGAGGGUGAACGGCCACAAGGGGACUGAGAUACGGCCCUUACUCCUACGGGAGGCAGCAGUGGGGAAUAUUGGACAAUGGGGGCAACCCUGAUCCAGCAAUUCUGUGUGCACGAGGAAGGUUUUCGGAUUGUAAAGUGCUUUCAGCAGGGAAGAAGGAAGUGACGGUACCUGCAGAAGAAGCGACG